UGGGGAAUAUUGCACAAUGGAGGGAACUCUGAUGCAGCGACGCCGCGUGAGUGAUGAAGGAAUUCGUUUCGUAAAACUCUGUUCUAUGGGAAGAAAAGGACUGUACCAUAGGAGAAAGCUCCGGCUAAAUACGUGCCAGCAGCCGCGGUAAUACGUAUGGAGCGAGCGUUGUCCGGAAUUAUUGGGCGUAAAGGGUUCGCAGGCGGAAAUGCAAGUUGGAUGUGAAAUAUUGUGGCUCAACCACAAACGUGCAUCCAAAACUGCAAAGCUUGAGUUAAGGAGAGGUAAGUGGAAUUCCUGGUGUAGCGGUGGAAUGCGUAGAUAUCAGGAGGAAUACCGGUGGCGAAGGCGACUUACUGGACUUAAACUGACGCUCAGGCACGAAAGCGUGGGGAGCAAACAGG
rnacentral:rRNA from 1 species